GCGGCCAUGUUGGCUCUUCGGGGUCCUUCAACCCGUAUGCGGCUGCCCUUCGUCACGCCUGUAAGUAAAACAUGAAGCGACAAAGUACCACAGAGCGAAGCCUGUCGGAUUUUUGCCUCAACAGCAAUGAUGCGACUGUACACAUCAAGACCAGAGCUGUGUCCUGAAGUCACCAGGACGGUGAGUUUAGCGGAGACACGCUUUUAAAAUGAGAGAAAAGGAGCUCCUCAUCAGCCGUCACCUCUGUGAGAUGAAAAGGCCUCGCAAGCAGUUCGCCACCCCGCGAGACCGAGCUCAGCUGCCUUGAGACAUGUUUGACAGAAGUGGCAGUUACCUUUUCCCAUGCCUGGAAGUGCUAGUCGGGGUGAUGAGGGACCACAGUGCACGAGCAUUUGGCACUGCCACAGAAGGCUCGCCAUGGAUAGCUUCAUCUGGCCUCUCUGCAGAGCGCUGCUCUUCCAGCCCCGGUCGACGACAUUGCAACGAUGACCCCGGCUGCUGAAUGUGCAGUGGAGCUGAGCAAAAGCCCAACUGGGGCCACUUGCAACGAGCAGACUGUAGUGCCAAAGGCGCUUUUGUACUUCAGCAUUGAAUCGAUGCUGCAGCCUGCUCUUAAAAGAGACAUGGUAUGCAAGUUUUCCUCAAAUUAACACAGUUCCCAGGUGUCUCAAAAACAUGUCCGGGAUGUGCUUUGAUCGAAAUACAAUUACAGGAUGCGUUGAACCCUCCCUUUACAGCCCUGUUGAUAUCAGUCGGAUGUGAGAGUGCUGUCCUGUCUCAUGAUGACCGAGGGCAGUGCUAAGGGGUGGCUAGUGGCUACUAAGGGGUGGCUAGUGGCUACUUUUACUCAAGCCCCAGUCCUAAAGGAAAAUGUGUGUGCAAAGCGCUCCUGAGCCCCCAUAAGUACGUAUAAAUUAUGAUCGCUAAGCCACCGAGUUACACUUACACAAGCUAUAUAAAUGACCCAACUAUUUGUAUACAAGCAAUUCAAAAGUCAGAUUUUCCAUAUUAUGUCGCCUAGUGAUGUCUACUUAAGUCCUAGAGAUGCACUGUAUGUACAGGGUAUAUCACUAAAAAAUGUAUACAUGCCAUCCUCGAUUUAUGACGGAAUUUCAUUUAUAUGGUGGCGACGCAAUCGUGGGUGGAACAGAAAUGACAUCCAUCCAUCCAUCCAUUUUCUGAGCCGCUUCUCCUCACUAGGGUCGCGGGCGUGCUGGAGCCUAUCCCAGCUGUCAUCGGGCAGGAGGCGGGGUACACCCUGAACUGGUUGCCAGCCAAUCGCAGCAGAAAUGACAUCCUUUUGAAAAUAUGUUUUUUAUAGAAAAGUCUCAUAAAGAGACUCCUAAGUGAUACCUUAUCAUUCCUGCACUGUGCAUCCUAGUUCAUUGCGCACCAUUUAAAACCUUGAAACGUUGUAUGACGGUACCGUCGUAAACCGAAGACCCCCUCUACACCUACUUACAAUUGCAUCGCCAGAAACAGAAUAUUCAUUUUAAAACAGAGUUUUUGUACAAAAUCCAAGUCAAUUCUCAUAAGAAGACACCAAAGUUGUACCUUAUCAUUCCUGCGCCAUUUGUACCUUUGAAACCCCCUUUACACUUACGAGUGAUACAUUGCAGGAUUUAUUUCUUUUCAUUUUUUCAACCUUUAUUUAUCCAGAUAAGGCAAUUUGUUUUUUGUAAUGCUGACCUGGCUGCAGAAAGCAGAGUACAGAAUACAAGGCUCAACAAUAUUUGUUUUAAAACUGAUUUUUUUUUUUUUUUUUUUUUUUUGGUACAAAAUCCAACUAAAUUCUUCUUAGCAGACUCUUCAAUAAUAACAAUAUCAUUCCUGUGCUGCACAAACCAGGUGAUUGCGUGCCAUUUGUAAUCUCAAAACGUCAUAUGUCAGUACCGUUGUAAACUGAGAGCCUCGUGCGCACUUGCGAUUGCAUUGCCCGAUACGGAAUAUUUACGGAAGAAUUCUAUCGUACAAAAUCCAGCUAAAUUCUAAUUAAAACACUUCAAUGUGAUACCAUAUCAUUACUUUAACUACUUUAGGAUUAGGAAACAAUACCAGAAGUGUGCAGCAGGCUGACGCGUGUGUGUUGCGUGACGCGACGGAAUAGUUCAGUCGCAUUCGGUCGACUCGCUCAGUGUGCUGCUCGACGGACCCUAACUGACUAAAGACUAUCUACUCAAUUUUUGGGCCAGAAGCGGACAAAUUGGGAUGAGGCCAACUUUUCCAACGUUCCAACUUCCGGCGAGUUGCAUCAGCAAUUAGCCGUUUUCUUCUGUCGCGGCGGUCGGGGCGUAGGGCACGCUGUGACUCUGUGUUCCCGUCACGAUCGUCACGCACCUGAGUGUGACACGGCGGGGCGCGGUGGGCGAGCAUCCUUAGUAAUCAGCACCUGCUGCCCGUGACAACGGAGGCGAGCGGCCACAUGGCAUGAUACCCGGUCGCACGCUGUGUCACGAUGCUCUGUUUUCCACACAGGCUUAGCUUCGGCGAGGCGGCUCGCACGCUGAGAAGUUGCUCUGUGUGAAUGGCUAAUGACGAACACAGCCGUGCAGCGUCUUCAAACGGGAUAAGGCGUGAGAUAGCACCCUUCCAGAUGCACCCGGGUGUGAACAUCCCCUGUUGGCAAACUGUUAUAGCACCUCCCACUGUCGGUGCACAUUUGCUUUGUGUGUGUGUUAGCGUGCCCACACAAAAGCAUGUGUCUUGCCAUUUUGACAGGAAGACUGCAGGGAACGUGUAUUAAUUAUAAAGAAAAUUGCCAUCUGUACCUUGUUUGUUUUUUUUGGCACUGAAACGAUGCCGCCCAUGCUCCUUUCUCUUCGAUAAUGACCCGUUUAAAAGAUUCAAGCAUAUCUGAGCUUUAAACAUGAAGACCUUGAUACUUUCUGUCUAGUGUUAGUCUUAACCGUGAGACAACAAAUCUCAAGGGAGCCUGCAUGGCACUGAAUAGUUUUACAAUAAUAAUUAAUUAUAUUUAUAAUUUCUUAUGUACCGUGGCUAGAAAGCAAAGUGUGGAGAAUCUCUGUCACAUCGAUCAUCCUCUCCAAAUAUCCACAUUCUCUUCUUUAUUAUCGCAGGUUCCGCUCUUUGUGGCAAUCUGCUUCUUUCUUGACAAUCGCCCCAUGUUUUUGUGAUUCGAUACGAAUUAAUCCAAUACAGUACACUGUAUGCGGAGCAGUUUGUCAGUUGCAGCACGCCAGUAGUGCGGCAACUGAAUUUCUUUCCCCCUACAAUUGUCUAGUUUAGUCACUUUCGCCCGGUGUGUGGCGAACCUAAAGUAACAUUUUAACAUCUGCAAAUGUGAUUCAAGUGCAAAAAUUGGAUAACCACUGUUAGUAGUCAAACAUAAAUAUAUAUCAAUAUAACACUCAGCUUGUUCAUAGAAACUGCUUCUUUGUUUGGAAUAUGAGGUAAUCUUUCUUUGCUCACUUAACAGAAAUCUAAUGCAGUGGCAUUAAUUAUUCUUAAUAGCAAUUAAGUUUUUGUUUUUGACUUUCAAAAGAUUUUUGUGAACAAUGUGGUCAAAUUCCAAAUUUUACACUCUCUGGCCCGUUUGACUCUAGAAGUUCCACUGUGACGACAGCGUGUCCACCAGGCAGAACUCCAUGCAGGAUUUGGCCUGUUUUUGCCAUUUUUGGACUAUUAAACUGCAAGGAAAUGUUUGCUCAUUGUGUGGAAAAAUACCAUCUGCGCUUUCAUUUUGUGCCCGAACACAAUGCUUCCUCUCCACGGACAGAGGUUAGCGUAAAGCUUUCAUAGCAGGCUCGGGCCUGGCUUGUCACUUGCAAACUGAUCCUCGCGCGCGCGUGUGUGUGCGUGCGUGCGUGCGAGCCUGUAUGUUUUCUACUUGUCGGCCUCCCACUGCUUGGAAUCGCUCGGCACUGCGUAACUGCGGCGUGCGGGGCUACAGAAGAAUCUGACCCUUUGUUCCCCGUACGUGUCUGAGUGGGAAUUAAGUGGUUGGCUCAUUUUGAGCUUUUGAGGAACUCACACACAUACAUUUGGUGAGCUGUGUUUAAGGCCAAUAACUGCAUCGAAAGGACUGUAUCUACCAGCAGAUGCGAUGAGUUCACGAGGUAAAAGAUCCAAAUGGUGCGUAGCCGUCCAUUAGCUCUGCCGCCUGUCUUGUGUGUAGCGCAAGUCGUAGAAGCCAUCCCAUUAUAAGCACGCACACAGAUUGUUGGGUGAACUGUAGGGCUGACAUUUACAGACAGGCUGGUCGCCUGUCUUGCAUCGUAUUUAGCCUAGUAAAUACCACAGUUAGACAAGCACUCCCCUAUAGAGAGAUUUCAUUGCAUAACUUCAUCGUUUAUUUGAAUAAAUUGAGCCGGGCCAAUGUGCUCUUUUGUAUAUUAUCUGAUGUUGCCAGCAUCAAAUCAUGAAGCCUUUAAAAACUGUAAGGCAAUGUUUUAAGUCACAUUUGAGCCCGCUCAACUGCAGAAGUGAAUCAUUGCAUUCAUCGCCAAUAGCUACAGUGGUAACCUUGACUUACAAACGACCCGACUUUAUGUCAUAUAUUGCGUACAAACGUUUUAGUUACAAGCGCAAGAUGGCGACGGCGAACUCGACAACAAGCAGCAGACUGGCGUGUAGUGAACGAUUCUUCCAAAAAUUGCUUCAUGCUGUUCGUGGCCAUCUUCUGUAGUUGAAGAUGACGGAAAAGCUCAACGUAAAGAGCAUUCCACGUUGUGUAUUGAACCAAACGCCACAUAACUUUGUCCGGCCAAAUUCCACUGCAGAAUGCUAAGUCGCAAUCCAAAAUGCCAAACUAACAUCGAUGCCACAGUGUUUUAACCAUUUAAGCAAUUUGGACACAAACGGUGCAGCAGCACAUGUAGACAGACACUAUAACAAUACUCACAGGAAUACAUAUCCUCCCAGUAAAAUGACUAAUAUUACUGUUAUGACUGGUGUGGGCAUUCUUUGGGUACUAGGGCUUCCUCCCACAUUCCAAAAAACAUGCAAUGUUAGCCUCAUCCAAGACUUUCAAUUUGGCUUUAGUUGUGAAUGUGACUGUGAAUGAUUGUUGGUCCAUUGGCUGGCGACCUUUCCAAGGUGCAACGGCUUCUCGACCACAGUAAAAUAGGUUAGGCUUCAGUUUACCCACAUGAGGAUUUCUACAAUAGAAACUAUAAGACCUUAGAAGCAUUGAAAUGACAUCUUCAAUUUCUUUCUAUAUAAAUGUAAUAGUGUGCUUUCACCCAUACUACUUUGAAAAGGUAAAGCAUUUACAGUGAGUGUUUCGUGAAUGUGAUGCAUAGUCUUGACAUUUUGUACAAUUUUCAACUCCGUUUUUCACAAGAGCACUUCGUUAGGACGACCAUACUCUCGGAGUAUAGUGCUCCUGUUUCUGUAUGUUAAGAUCAAGGCUUAUAGGGAUGCUUCUACUGUAUAUCUUAGCAGAAUAUGAAUCAUAUAUGCAAGCAGCAAUACAUUUUCUUCUAAUGGCAUUCGAAUCGCGUCUUCAUCGAUGCUGAAAUAUGUAUACGUUCCGGCAUAUGCGAGGCGCCAAUAUGUCAUAUGAAUGAUCGUCUUGGAGCGACGGGAUGGGAUCGUUCUUCAUUCACGACGCCGUCAUGGAAUGAAUGCGCAGCGGCUGUCAAAAGGCCAAAUGGAGUUCAGUGAGAGGUCAAGCUCGAAACAAUUCAUGGCCGCUGUGACGCUUCUGCGGCUACGUUAGCGUGAGUCAUUAGGUAGCCUUGUAGAUGGCACUUAUCCAUAUGUUUAAAACAUCAGAGGUUCCUUUUCUUUUCUAGAUUGAUAUUGACUUCAUUACACGGUCUAAAGAAAUUAGAACUCUAAUGAAAAUG